AGUGCUGUAAGAAAGGACGGAGGCUGUUAUCUAUGGCAGAUCUAUCCAAUAAAGGAGAGAAAGGACCGCAUACGCCUGGUUCUCAUCAUAUGCAAUAAAGAGUUUGACCAUCUGCCUCCAAGAAAUGGGGCUGACUUUGCCAUCAUGGAGAUGAAGAAGCUGCUUGAGGAUCUGGGUUACAGUGUGGAUGUAGAAGAGAAUCUGACAGCCAGGUGUUUUCAUGGAUUCCAGGAAUGGCUUCCCUUUCUCAAAUGAUCAAUUUCAAGUCUUAUUCUCCAUAUUUCCCAUCUGAUUCCACUAUGAGCAGUGCCAUUGCAUGCCCUACUAGAACUGUGGAUACCCUUUAAAACAAGUAGAAGAUGAUAGGGUGGGACUCAUUACGUCUAAUCUUGGGGAACACUGAUAACGUGUCCAGGAGAGACAGCACAAGGGGCUCCAUCUUCAUCACACAACUCAUCGCAUGCUUCCAGAGAUAUUCCUGGCGCUGCCACCUAGAGGAAGUAUUUUGGAAGGUUCAGCAAGCAUUUGAAAGUCCGGAGGCAACAGUCCAAAUGCCCACCAUAGAACGAGUGUCCAUGACAAGAUAUUUCUACCUCUUUCCUGGCAAUUGAAAAUGGUUAAGCAUUGAGAGUUGUUGGUGGUGUAUGAAAUAAAUGAAAGUGUGAUAUUGGAGCAGGAAACCACAAGCAGCCCAGCCCUCCUUUAUCAACUUCAAGAAACACCUUUACUAGUACAGAUUGAAUGCUUAACAUUUUGUAUUUCAAUAAAGGUGAAGACAAAUGAA
ensembl:lncRNA CASP4LP caspase 4 like, pseudogene